UACAGAGGGGGCAAGCGUUGUUCGGAAUUACUGGGCGUAAAGGGCGCGUAGGCGGCCUGCUAAGUCGAACGUGAAAUCCCCGGGCUCAACCCGGGAACUGCGUCCGAUACUGGCAGGCUUGAAUCCGGGAGAGGGAUGUGGAAUUCCAGGUGUAGCGGUGAAAUGCGUAGAUAUCUGGAGGAACACCGGUGGCGAAGGCGGCAUCCUGGACCGGUAUUGACGCUGAUGCGCGAAAGCCAAGGGAGCAAACGGG
rnacentral:rRNA from 1 species